rnacentral:rRNA from 1 species
AAACAUAAGAGUUUGAUCCUGGCUCAGGACGAACGCUGGCGGCGUGCCUAACACAUGCAAGUCGAGCGGAGAUGCCAAGGAGCAAUCCAAGGUGUCU